CGCGUAGGCGGCGCGAUCAGUGUGGAGUGAAAUCCCACGGCUUACCCGUGGAACUGCUCUGCAUACUGUCGUGCUCGAGGACGGUAGGGGAGAGCGGAACUCUUGGAGGAGCGGUGAAAUGCGUAGAUAUCAAGAGGAACACCAAUGGCGAAGGCAGCUCUCUGGUCCGUUUCUGACGCUGAGGCGCGAAAGCUAGGGUAGCGAACG
rnacentral:rRNA from 1 species